UGAGACGCCCAGUUCCACUACAACGAACGAACGAACAUAGCUGACGUUUUAUUCAAAUCUUGUGGAUUAUUGAAUUCGAAGUUAGCUUCAAUUUUUAUUCCUCUUCUCGAUUUUGACGAAAGUUGGCUGCAGUCAAUUUCAAGAAAAAUGAUGCAGAUUCUCCACACGUAUAUCCCGGAGUUUGAUUCAAGAACUGUAGAUGAAGAGAAGAUUCUAUGAAGAACUGAUGAGUGAAAGUUUCUAAUCUUUUACAGUCUGUAUCAGCAAGUGUUCAGCAAUCUCUUGCCAGAAGCCCCUAAGAAGACCAUUGUGACGUCACCACCCUUUCAUUCAGAAAAGGUUCUUCAGAUUUGUGUUUUCCAAUAAUUUUAUCUUUGCAUUAAGACUUCUUGGUUUCAAAACUAUUGCCAAGUCAUUGGUUUCAGAACUAGUCAGCUUGUUAUCAAUGUAAAAUAGAAGCAUGUGAACAGGUUAUUUAAACUUAUCGGAAUAUUUUGUAUAUUACUUCAUUUUUAAUUGCUUUCAACUUAAUUUAAUAACAAAGUAUAGUAACGCUUUCAGAACAUGAAAACUUUCAGAAAUUUUGAUCUCAGUUUGAGAACGCGAUUCAUAAUAAUCAAAAUUUGAAUAAAAUCGACAAAUUCACAUACUUAAAAAGUUUACUGAAAUCAAAAGCACAAACCGCGAUACAGGGUUUGACAAUGUCUGAGAAAAACUACGAUAUUGCAAUUAAAAUUCUUUAAGAGCGAUACGGCAAAAAAGAAAUUUUGAUUAGAACGCAUAUUAAUAAUUUAUUAAAUUUGUCGCCUAUUCGUAACACAUCUAACUUAAUAGCGCUCCGCGAAUUAUACGAUACGUGUGAAAUUCAAAAACGUAAUUUAGAAUCACUUGGCAUCGAACUUGAAAGUUACGGUAAUUUACUUUUCCCAAUUAUAACUAAACUAAUACCUGAUAGUUUAAUUUUAAAUUAUAAUCGUGAACAUAAAAACGAAACAGAUUCAUGGAACGUAACAAAAUUGUUAGAGUAUUUAAAAUCCGAAAUCGAAAUAAGAGAAAGAACAUUUUCAUUUCAGAAAAAAGAAUCUAAUUCUUUUCAGGGUUAUUCUAAAAUUAGAAAUGAAAGAGAAUUUUCUGGUUUUGAAAAUAAUAAAUUCCCAAAAAUGAGAUGCGAUAGGACUGCUACUUUAAAUGUUAUUAGCAAUGAAAAUAAAUGUGUAUUCUGUUCUAAUGAUCAUAAAAAUGAUGAAUGUAAAUUAAGUGUUGCCGAAAAGAAACAAUGUUUAUUACGUCAAGGAAGGUGUUUUAAUUGUCUAGAAAAAUUUCAUAUUGUCAAACGAUGUUUUAAGAAAACUGCUUGUACUAUUUGUCGUAAAAAUCAUAAUGAAAACAUAUGCGAUAAACUUUCAGAAACAAAACCCUAAGUCCCCCAAAAUGAAACUAUUGUGUCUUCUGUUGCAGAAAGUAAAAAUUCGAGCAGUAAUAUAUAAACGUCGCAGAUAUAUAAAUUUUUAAUUUCUGUGUGUAUUAAACUCGUGUAGCAAGUUUUCUUUCCUAUAGAUAUAAAUUUAUUAUUUCAAAUGCUCCAGUCUUUUGAUUUGAUGCAGUAAUUUGAAUAAAUGAUUUUUGAAUACUUUUAUAACUAUCAGUUUUAUUAAAUACAAAUUU
rnacentral:lncRNA from 1 species